CCCGCCUGGCGAAGCGGACCGGCGGGAGGCUGUGACCUACGUCCGGGAGGAGCUCGCAAAUGGCCGGGUACCUAGACCAACGUGGAGACCCCCACAGACCCCCACAGUAUCGCCAUCAAAAUAAGGGGUCCUCAUGCAUGGUGAGUGUAGUUGAACCAAUAGAAUGUUCUGCUUGAUAAUUAUUGCUCUCUAUUUCUCAACAGCCUUUCUUCAAUUUUCAUCCUCAGGUGCAGAAAAUAAAAAAAAAAAUUCAAUUACUACAGUUCUAUGCUUUACUUAAUAAUUAAUCGCCCAUCCCAUCACACUAUGAAUAUUUACAUGCAAAGCGUCCCUGGGAGCCAUCCAUAUGCCAGAGGGAGGGAAGUCUGUGUGUUUAUAGCAUUAAACGCUCAAAUAUCGUCACAAACCCCAUUUCGCCUCCAACCAUGAAAAACACUCACUAAAGCAUUGCAAGCAUUUUAUUUGGUGUUGCACAAUGUAACCUAUUCAAGUCCCAUUUAGACGUGGAGAGUCAGACUACAGGUACUCUCUCUAUGCUGAGCAGGAAAAUGCAGGUGGAUGCCCCACUGGUUGCUUGGAUCACUGACUAUUUAACAAGUCGACCACAGCAUGUUCGGCUGAAGAGCU